CAAUAUAUCAAAUAAUAGCCGUCAUGACAAGAAACUAUGGAAGCAUGUACUAGGUUACUUGGUUUACAUGAACUGCAACUCUGCAAGUACUUCGGUAUGUAUAUUACACGAGAAAAUUUAACGUGCAACUUCUAAUUAUUUCAUAUGUAUCAACUAUCAUGCGCAGUUGGGUACGUAGCUCAUUCCAUCUUUUAGAUAGCUCACUGCUAGCUGUGGGGCAAAACCAUUUCAGCAUGUUUGGACCCAAUACCUGAUCAAAAGCAGAUUACUUAGCUACUAGAAGGA